GGGCUCGUAGCUCAGCGGAAGAGCGUCGCCUUCGCAAGGCGGAGGCCCCGGGUUCAAAUCCCGGCGAGUCCA
rnacentral:tRNA from 1 species